rnacentral:rRNA from 1 species
AUGGACCAUCACUUCGGCUCCUCCCACGUGCACGCCGACGGCGAGCGCAGGGCCAAGGAGGAGGACGUCGUCGUCGUGCUCGCCGUCGACGACGAGGCGGCCGAGGCCGACGACCACCCGGGCGACGACGACGGCGGCGUCAACUACAUGGCCCGCGCGCAGUGGCUCCGCGCGGCGGUCCUCGGCGCCAACGACGGCCUCGUCUCCGUGGCGUCCCUCAUGAUCGGCGUCAGCGCCGUGAACGACGCCGGCAAGACGAUGCUCGUGUCGGGCCUCGCCGGGCUGGUGGCCGGCGCCUGCAGCAUGGCCAUCGGCGAGUUCGUGUCCGUGUACGCGCAGUACGACAUCGAGGUGGCCCAGAUCAAGCGCGACGGUGCCAAGGGCAAGAAGGAGAGCCUGCCGAGCCCGACGCUGGCCGCGCUCGCGUCGGCGCUGGCGUUCGCGGUGGGCGCGCUCCUGCCGCUGCUGGCCGGCGGGUUCGUGAGGACGUAUGGCGCCAGGGUCGGGGCGGUGUGCGCGGCGACCACCGUGGGCCUGGCCGGCUUCGGCGCGGCGGGCGGGUACCUGGGCGGCGCGAGCGUGGCCAGGUCGGGGUUCAGGGUCCUCCUUGGCGGGUGGGUCGCCAUGGCUGUCACGUACGGCGUGCUCUGGCUGUUCGCCAAGGUGUCCCACAUUCACGUCUCGUCAUUGGCGUGA